UAUUGCACAAUGGGCGAAAGCCUGAUGCAGCAACGCCGCGUGAGCGUUGAAGGGCUUCGGGUCGUAAAACUCUGUCCUCAAGGAAGAUAAUGACGGUACUUGAGGAGGAAGCCCCGGCUAACUACGUGCCAGCAGCCGCGGUAAUACGUAGGGGGCUAGCGUUAUCCGGAAUUAGUGGGCGUAAAGGGUGCGUAGGUGGUUUCUUAAGUCAGAGGUGAAAGGCUACGGCUCAACCGUAGGAAGACUUUGAAACUGGGGAACUUGAGUGCAGGAGAGGAGAGUGGAAUUCCUAGUGUAGCGGUGAAAUGCGUAGAUAUUAGGAGGAACACAAGUUGCGAAGGCGGCUCUCUGGACUGUAACUGACACUGAGGCACGAAAGCGUGGGGAGCAAACAG
rnacentral:rRNA from 1 species